rnacentral:lncRNA from 1 species
GCUGCAUCUGUGCACCCAAACAUGGGCAGCUUCCACAUGGUCCAGUAGCGACCAUCGUAGUACCCUGGUACUCUUGCAUGCUCACGGUACACCAAUCCAUGCUUCCAAACCAAACACAUACGUAAGUCACUCAUGCAAUUGCGUGUUGAAUUAUUAACAAAUUUUAAGAUUUUGUUUUGAGAUCACCUCUAGCUCGAAUUCCAAGCAAGGAAUCCAUCCAGAACGAAGAAGGUAUUCAACUUCGCUGGCCAAUUGCUCCCUUGUAAGUGGUGGAAGGUAUGAGAGAGUCUCGAACUUCUUCAUCCCAAGUGUUGGCCAAACCUACACUCCCAUUUUCACACUAAGUAAUUCAGCAUAUACAUAUGAACUAAAGGCUGAUCCAAUCUACUUGUAAUUUGAACUCGAUCUCUAGCUCUAGAAAAAUCCUAGAAUUAUUUUACGGAUUUUAAAAUUCCAUUUUAUUAUUUCUGUUAUUAUUAAUUGUAGUAAGCUAACAACUAGAGAAAUGAAGUUAGAAAAAUGGAGUACUGACCUUCAUGCAUUGGACCUUGCCACCGUUGCUGGUGAUGGAGGUGAUGUCAGAGUUGGUUUUGCGGGUGGUAGGGAAGACUGGGGUGGACUUAAGGCCGGUGAACGGAGCCACCAUAGUAGCCUGAGCAGGGCUGACCCUGUUAAUGCUAGCCACAGUAGCAGUUGAGAGCAUAGAGGAAGCCAUUUUUUUACCUCCCUUUACUUUCUUCUACUUACUAUUACUAUUUACGAAGGCUUCUUGCUCUACCAUCCCUUUCUUUUUAUAAACUUUUCAAAGAUGCCUAGCUCUCUUUGCUUUGUCGUUUUGUGGGGUCAUUUCUGAUCCAAUGGUUGAUGUUUGAUUUCAAGGACAUCGGCCGUUGGAUCUUACGAUGGCCACAAGUAGGAGAUGUGAGCCUUAUCGUUUGGCAUCCCUGAGAGAGUGCCACGUAGCCUUGUGUCUGUAACCUUAUCUGAUCUCAAUUGAGACUAUAAGACGUUUUAUGGCCCUUCAUUUGGAGAUAGGACCACUCCUUUCUUUUCCUUGGAGAUAUUUCAAUUUUUUUAAAGUUUAUUUUCCAUAACUUUGGACUUUUUUUGAGGGAUGGGAAAUUUUAAUAAGUUUUAGCAAUAAGAUUUUUUUUUUGAAUGGGAGGUUUUCAAAUUUUUAAUGUAUACAUAUUUACAAAUUAGAAAUUUAUAGUAUGAGGAGGCUACCAUAAUAUGUUGCAGGUCAUGGGCUAAAAGGGUGGAGUGUCCCCAUCUUGGAGUCUUACAAUAAUUGCAGGACUAUCCUUGGCAUAUAAUUGAACAUUCUAGGACUUUUGUUUUCUCUGUAAAAAUAUAAUAAAAAGGGUAAAAUUAGAAAAUAAAAAUAAAUUACAAUGCUGUAAUAAAAUAAUGCCAGAUAUGUUUUGUGUUCCUCUUCCUGAUAAGGAAAGGCUUAGAUGACACUUAAUUUUGAGUUCAAAAUGCUCUGCAAGUCAAUUACUGGGUAGGUCGUCAUUUCUUUCUCAUUUAUUAAUUUCCACCAACAAGUCUACCUUAUUUUCAUAUUUUGGGGUCACUAUUUUUUUAUUCAACAAAAGGCUCUUAAUUAUCUGUAUUUUUAACUAAAAUAUCUAAAUUGUACAUCCACAAAUUCAUUUAAGGGAAUUUGAUUUCUUGGUUAUUCAUAUAUAGCUCUUAUCUCAAGUACGGUUUUUGUUCUUGUUUUGGUUUUACAUUACAAAAUUAAAAAUGAUCAAACUAGAGCAAACGGCAAUGCAC